ensembl:lncRNA
AUGGCUCCCAGGGCUGUUCGGGAGUUUCCAUUCAAGGGAGAAUUAGGGAUUUCCCUGCUGGUCCAGUGUCUAAGACUCCGAGCUCCCAAUGUGGGGGUGGGGGUGGAGUGGGGAGGGGGGCAGGUUCAAUUCCUUGGUCAGGAAACUAGACUCUAUGUGUAGCAACUAAAGAAUCCACAUGCAGCAACUAACCUGGCACAGCCAAGGAUUUUUUUUAAGAUUUUUUAAACAAUUGAAAGAAUAGGUUUAAGGAGGCAAAAUAGUAGGUUCAUUUGUAGACACAGUUAAUCAGUCUUGACACUCAGUCACUGCAAUGCAUGAAUCUUGAACCUAAGGUUACACAAAAGCCACAGGUGAGUUUCUCACACACUAUAUGUGGCAAAUCAUUAGGUACACAAUAUUACUAAAGUAACAAGCCACCUUCAGUGUGGGCUCUGAAGCCCAAUAUUAAACACAUCCAAAUAAGUUUUCAAGUCAUCUUUCACGGACUUUAGGAAAGAAGGGGUAGAGGAAUAGCAGGUUCUUAAGCAUUAGGCAGAAGGCAAUGGCAACCCACUCCAUUACUCUUGCCUGGAAAAUCCCAUGGACAGAACCCCAUAGACUGCAGUCCCUGGGGUCGCUACAAGUUGGACACGACUGACUGGCUUCACUUUCACACACUGGAGAAGGAAAUGUGAAAAAGGAAAGUGAAGUCGCUCCGUCGUGUCUGACUCCUAGCGACCCCAUGGACUGCAGCCCACCAGGCCCCUCCGUCCCUGAUUUUCCAGGCAAGAGUACUGGAGUGGGGUGCCAUAUUAACCCCUAUGUUUGUACAAAACUCGAAAUUUUGUACGCAACCUUAAAAAAUUACACCAUCAUAUAAAAUUCAAGAUAAAGCAGUAACACUUUCUUCACCAUUUUGCAAAGGGGGAGUAUAGUCAAGGAUAUUAAAAAUCGUAUUAACCUUCAUGUUUUUUGGUGGUCACACACUAUCUAGAGACUAAUUUCUUUCUUUUUACUGUCUAUAUCGAGACUAAAACAUUACACUUAAAAUGGAAUCGCAUGUUAGCAUAGUGCAAACCAGUUUUGCAAUUAGUGAAAAAAUAUUUACUUAGCAACUGUUGAGAGCAGUUUCUAAAAAUACCCACCUCCCACCUUUCUUCCAAUCCUAAAAAUCUAAUAUAGCACUUCAUCACCAAGAUUUGUGUCACUGUUCACUGGCAGAGAACCAAUGGAUGCCUGCCUGACAAAAUUGUUUCCAAUGGUUAUUCAAACUAUUUCACAUCCCUGCAUUAGUAAGGCUGACUUAAUAUGGUAAUGGUGAGAAAGGGCCACAUUUUUCUACCUAAUACAUUCUACUCCAUAAAUAAUCAGACUACGAAUGUACUAUGGUACUAGAGGGUGAGAAAAUCCUGUCAGUGAAUAUACUAAUACAUUAGAAUAGCAUACCUCUAUAAACCUGAUUACAUGGAAAUGCUCCAAAAUUGUAAAUAAAAUAUUUACCAUAGGUAAAAAUAACCUGACCAAAUUUCUUAUUCAGUAGAAUGCAGACUUUAUUAAUGCAUCCUACUUAGUAUUUGGUCCUAAACAUGGACUCGACUAAUAGCCCCAACAGUUGAAGGGAUGACUUGUUUAUGAAAACCUAUCAGUUUGGACUUUAACUCCUCCUACA